rnacentral:lncRNA from 1 species
GACGUCUUGGGGUCUCCUAAGGGGUCUGCGGAGCCGGUCGUCCCUUUUUGAGGGGUCCCCGGACACGGCGACCCUUUCGGGGAUGGGACAUCCGGUCCCGAGCUCUUCGUUGGAGUUGUGGUCCCUGCAUCCCUUUAUUAGUUUAGUUUAUCUUGUCUGUCUCUGAGACCUCCACCGGGGUGAAUGGACUCCUGGAUUCUGCCUGCGUUGGGGACCGAUCCCUGACCCCCACAUCCAGGAAAAAUAGGCCUAAAGUAUGAGUUUCAGGGCUCUCCCUCGUCCUGAGCCCAGGUGGAUCUUGGGCUCCCUGGGAAGGAUUCAUUAACUCCUUGUAGCCUAUGGAGGGCUCAGUAGUGGCGCGUUUGCCUCCUUAAACAGGGUGGUCAGAGAAAGGCCUCCUCCAGAAGGUAAGGUUUCAAGGGGUCAGGUUUGAAGGGAACCCAAGACUUGCUGAGCUGUUCCAGAUGGAGAGACUAAGCUCGCUCGGGAUGUGUGCCUGGAGCUCCACAACCCCCUCUCUCCUCCCCUCACUUCUCUUAGUAGCAGGAGCCUAAACUUAGACUGCCGACUGCAGUUCAGAAGGCCUGAGUUUCUGUUUUGGGGACAAGUGCUGCUUAUCUGUGUAUAUGGAGGGAGGAGUUGGGUCACAGUGCCUCUAGUGUCUUGCUAGCACAAGCUCCUGCUUUCUGGAGUCUCUGAUGCUCCUUCCUCAAGGUGUAAUCAUCCUUUGAUGGCACCUGUCCUAGGCAGCUGUGCCUCCCACAUUAUGCCCUCUAUAGGCACCUCUGCUGACGCCACUGGAAACCACAGAGGGCUACGGCGUGCCACUACCUGCUUGCUGUGUCUGGGAAGUGUCUGCCAGGUUCCUGGAGGGCACAGGAGUCUGUCCUCCCAACCUCCCAACUUGUCAUAUCAUCCUUGUUUACCUCUUGUUUUGCAGCAUUGAGGAUGGACCCCAGGUUGCUCUACCACUGAGCUACAUCACCUGGUCCAUUAACUGUUUAUCUUGAGACAGGGUCUUGCUAAGUUGUCCAGGUGGGCCUUGAACUUGUGAUCCUCCUGCCUCAGUCUCCUGGAUAACUGGGGUUACAGGUGUGGCCAUCACAACCAGAGGCAGUGUCAUUUCAUCUUAAUUCACUCAUGCAGCAAAGUCUGUAUGAUUCAGAGCCCUCUGGAGCCAUACUGACUUUAAAACUGUCUGCUGCGUUCCUCGAGACAAAACACUCAGGGUCACACCUGGGGACUGGGCUGUGCAAAAUAACCACACGAGAGACAGAGAGACCUUUUUCUUUGGGGUCCUAUGAGGCUCCUCUGACCUUAAGGGUCUGUGGAAAGAGAACUGGUUGACUGACAGCUAGGAAGGCCACACCCAAGGGCAGAGCAAGAGAAGGGAACACACAAAGGGCAUUUCCAAACAGGGCAAAGGGGUAACAUCACAAAGGAACAGGUGAGCGUAGCUCCACCUAUGGGGCUGCGGGAAGGCAUGCCCAGGCACGAAGACACAUUCAUUCACACAUUCUGCGACUUCCAAGAUCGGGGCGUCAUCGAGGGCCACUUUGAUGUGGCCAGAUCACUUGGAAGUGACCGACAGAAUCUCACCAAUCAGGAAAGGAAUGUGCUGGUCACAUGGUGCGGCGGCCUCCCACAACUGUCCCUGCUGAAGUUGGGCGCA